rnacentral:misc_RNA from 1 species
UUGCAUAGAAUUGAUGAGCCAUGAUAUAACAAGAGAGUUCUCCAACUCCCACUGACUGUAGGUAGAGCUCACAGUUUCUAGCUUUUUCUUAUUUUCAAUAAUAUACCCCUAUAGCCUUCUAGCUUGAAUAAACAGCAAACGAGAUCAAAACCACGCAAAAAAAUUAGUCCCAUCCAAUUUUACAGGACUAAUCUAGAAAGAGGAGUUAUCACUGAUAAAACCCACCUUUGUUUUCGAGAUUUCCUUCUUCCCAUCUACCAUUUUAGUACAAAAAAAAUAAAAACAGAUACUGUAUUGAAGAGAGACCCAAAAAAUAAAAGUGCAAGCCAAGUGAGAGGAAUAGGUGGGUCAGAGGCGCAAAAACUAAGAGAGAAGGCGUCAAAGAAAAACGGCCAGAAAUAGCUUCGCGCGCUGGUGUGUGUGAUUGGAGCGCAACCUUCUAAGGGUGCAUAGGGCCACGCGCCUUACAGGAUGAUGGCAAAACUCUAGGUGAGGGCCAGCAACCUGAUGUUCUUCCUCCUUAGUUGGAUGGUGACAAUCACCUCCCUCAACAGACUCGCUUUUAGGCUUACCCACACAAACCCUAACUAUUCUAGUACUAUUCAUGCCAAGAAAAGUUGGCUUGGCUAUGAUACCGUGUUGAAAUCAGACAAAAUUGAAGUAUUUCUGUGUGUAUUUUACUAUAUAAAUUGAUUUACAAUGAUUCUAAUUUAUACACAAAGGCUAGAACCUAAAUAGAAAAAAAUAAAAACUAAUAAAUACAAAUAUUCUUAAUAUCACUAAUUUACAGCUAAUGCACUAAU